GGGGUGGGGGUAGGGGAUAGUAUCAGAAACUUGAGGCAGCUGGUCAUGUGGAAUCCACAAUCAAGUAGUAGAAAGAGAUGGGUGCUUGAAUCAGCUGGUUUUCUCCUUUAUAUUUAAUCCCUGAGUCCAACUCAUGGAAUGGUGCCACUCACAUUAAGGGUAGGUCUUCCUGUCUCGGUUAACCUAAUCCAGAAAGUUCCUCACAGAACAAUUCCAUGUCAUUAGGGUGAUUCUAGACACUGUCAAUGACAAUCAGUGUAAGCCAACACACAUCACAAGCCAGGUGAGACAGCUUCUGAAGUCUGAGGCAGAAAUACCACCCCUUGCCCCAUAAUGAAUUUCUAUUAGUUAAGGCUUGAUUAGCGCUCAGUUCUUGGCACAAAACCCUGGUCCCCUUACAAUCCCUGGCAGAGAGGUGCAGUCCAAACACUGAAUGCUGUUCUGACAAACUGAAGAUACCUGGGUAUCAUUGUAAUAGGGGAGCAAUGGGAAAUCUGGCACAGAAAACUGUGACCACAGAAACAGAAAGCAGAAUGAUAUGUCCACAAGCCAUGGAAUACUGGCAGUAACCAGACCUUGGUAGAAGCAAGGGGUACAUCUGGAGCUGACACACCUUGUUUCUGUUCGGUGAAACUGACUGUGGACUUUUGACUUCCACAAACAGCAAUCUGCAUAGGACUGGGUUGUGAUGGUCCUUGAAGGCACUGACUGCCCACCAUUCUGAGGCAAUGCAAAAGUCUCAUAUUCUUCGUACUAUACCUAUUUAUCAUAUCGUACAAUGGUGAUUGAUAUCAAGAAUUAUAUCCCUGAGGCAUGUGAGGUCUAAAUCAUAAAAUAUAGAUUAAUAAAAUUCAUUGUCUUGCUACCUGA